rnacentral:rRNA from 1 species
UACGUAGUGGGCUAGCGUUAUCCGGAAUUACUGGGCGUAAAGGGUGCGUAGGUGGUUUCUUAAGUCAGAGGUGAAAGGCUACGGCUCAACCGUAGUAAGCCUUUGAAACUGGGAAACUUGAGUGCAGGAGAGGAGAGUGGAAUUCCUAGUGUAGCGGUGAAAUGCGUAGAUAUAUGGAGGAACACCAGUGGCGAAGGCGACUCUCUGGUCUGUAACUGACGCUGAGGCUCGAAAGCGUGGGGAGCAAACAGGAUUAGAUACCCUGGUAGUCCCU